CCCCCGAUAGCUCAACGGUAGAGCGCAAGACCCGUAUACAAUGCUUUGAUCCAGACGUUGUCUUGAGGACGCUGGAUCAACACCAGCUCGGGGGU